GAGAGAAGCCCAUUACAUGGCUUUUUAGGGUUUCACGGUUUCACCUAAUAGCCGUAUUCACCUCUUUCUCUCUCAUCAGUCCCUCACUCCCUCUCUCUCUCCUCCCCGUCAUUCAUCACCUCGUUGUCUCAUUUCAAACUCAGGCCCUCACUCCUCUCCUCCAUCAAUCUUCCCCUUAACAACAAAUGAAGAUCUCUAAACCUAACUACUAAAGAACAAUUCUUAGAUAAAUGGAGAUAUCUUUGCCGAAAACUUCAACCAUUUUUAGAUUGUGAGAGAAACUAUGGUACAUCAGCUCCCACUAAGAAGGAAGAAAUAAGGGGUACUGUGCCUUUGUUCAUGCUGAACACGCUCUUGAUCCAGCUCUAGCAGAAGCUAUUGGUGUAAAUACACAAAAUCUGCCCUUAUCACAACCAUAUUGAGUUGAACAAGCUCUUAGCCUUGUGGAUACUCUCAUUCGAAGUGGUUCACUUGAUGUUGUGGUAGUUGAUAGUAUAACGUAUUAUCAUAGGUUAUCACCUUUGGAACCAUCAAAGGUGCCUCUUGGAUCAUUUACGAAUAUAAAAAAAGGGGAUUGCAUAGUGACCUUUUCACGUCGUCAAAUAUAUAAUUUCAAAAUUGUCGGGAGUCAUGUCCUUGUGAAAGUCAUAAAGAACAAGCACGCACCACCUUUUAGAACCGAUGAAUUUGAAAUCGAGUAUGGAAAGGGCAUAUGCAGGGAGCUCAUUAGUCUAGGUGUCAAGAACAACCUAAUAAAUAAGCAUGGUUCUAUGUACGCCUUCAAAGGCCUUAAUUUUCGCGGGAAAGAUGCAGUUAGAAAGUAGUCUCAGAAGUUGCCUUGUUCAGCUUUGGAAUUAUGGAGAUUUAGUGAGAAAAAGAAAUAGAAUGAAGAGGUUUAGUGGAAUUAUGUAGUAGCUUUUCUUCUUUUGAUUCAUGUUAGAGAGUUGUUGUAAAGUCAAUUUGGACAUUAGUGCAAGUUGUAUCUUAAUCUAUAAUUAAUUGAAUUUUACAUGUGUUAUUAUUGAAA